rnacentral:lncRNA from 1 species
AGGCAGCAGCAGCAGCAGCCGGGGUGGCACGGCGGCGACCACGCCGCCGCGGCGGGCGGCAACGGCAAGAGGGCCAAGGUGAUGCACCUCCUGCUCUGGGGACCCAAGUGAUCGAUGUAUCCGAUCCGCUUAUCCGGCAACCUCUCGUGGCGCUCCGGCGAGUGUUUGCGGCGGCGGCUCGGCUCCGGCCGGCCGGCCGUGUACCAUGGCCGGACUGUAUUGUAAAUUUGUACCAUGGCCGGACUGUAUUGUAAAUUUGUACCAUGGUACUAGCUAGUACUAGUUGCUCCCUUGUCUUGCACCGGCCUCUUGCUGUUUGCUCAGACUGCUCGUCGCGUCGGUCAGUUUGGGUGUCAACUGCUGGAAGCUAUGGCUAGUAAGCUUUCUGUAAAAUAUACCAAGUCUGAGUGGUGUUUCUAGGUGUGAUUUAAAUUUGGAGAAGCAGAUUAUACCCCUGUAAUCUUAAAUUUGCCUGGUUGUGCCUGUGAAAUUCAGUUUUCCGACGCUACAUGCUUUCCCUUUUGGUCUUUUUUUGUGUGAGGGUUGCUACUUGCAAGUAGUUCAAAGUCCCAGAUCGGGAAGGUUAAUCAGCUCUUUUGCUUGAAGUUUUGUUGAAUCCUGAUGCGGUGCUAACAUCAAUUUUGCUGAGAACUGUGCGCUGUUUUGCAGCGGAGUUUUAUCUUGAAACUGGCGCACAGAGUUUGGAGUGCUUCGCUUCUUCGCAUCAUGGAAGCCAUGGAUCAACCUAGUUUCUCUUUUAGGUUGGCCUACCUGGUUUAGCGUGAAAGAAUCUUGAAAAGAGAACGUGAACAAGAAAAAGAAAGGAAUUUAAAUACUAAGGAAAGGAGAGAAAAGGGAAAGUGAACAGAAAAGGGACUUCAAUUAUAUCCAUAAAAGGUGAGAAGAUGAAGAAAAAAAAAUGUGAAUGCCUAUGUGCUAUCUUGUCCACGUAUGACUUGAGCAGCUGUGGAUUCUUAUCCGGAUGUGUCUCGUCUCUCUUUUUUUAUGGAACAAGAGGGGAUAUGUCCUCUACUGAUUAUAUAUUGAUAAAAGGAAUAGGAAAAAGUCUUACAACCCAGAACUUAAGAAACAAAGAAAGAAAAAAAAGAUCAUAAAUGUAAUUGAUCUUUAUAUUUAGCUAAAAAAAUAAUUGAUCUUCCUACUGAAAAAUGCAAGCUGCGGUAGCUAGAGAAGAAGAUUUCAGAAUUUGCCAUCAAAUUCACACGUCUCAUAUGAUUUUCAUGCAAUGCCGUACCGUAUAUUCUCUCCUUUCUAUGCCAUCUCAUAUUCUCUUGUCACUCGGCUUAUAGGCUAAUGGUGCUCACGGGAUUAGGCUCCAAUAAUUCGAGCAAGAUUGGCCAUCCAUUUUCUCUUAAAUGCGUGUCGUUGGCAUGCACCCUGAGCUGAGCUCCCUCCACCUCCACAAGAUGAAACAUGAAAGCGCCACAUAGAGGGGUGGGUGAGGGUGACCAGGCAACGAGUUGGUGUAGAUCCGAAUGCUUGGUUUGGAUUGAGCGGGAAUGGAAUUCCGUGAGAUCAGGGGCCAUAUGAAAAAGAAAGAAAAGGAAUGCGGGGAAGGAUACAAUGGCAUGUUUUGUAACCAAUUUACGUGUGGCCAAUUCUGAAAGGCUUGCAAAUUUGAUGGAAAAUCUUGUGAGAUGUGUAGAAAAAAGAAAUUCACAGUUAUUUAAACCUGAGUACCGGGGGAAAAAGAAGAACAUUUGAUAGAAGAACAAGAGAAUGAGAUCCCUUCAAACAACCUUUUUGUUGGUAAGAUUUUAAACUUCCUUGUACAUGGGAACUAAAGGUGAUGCUUAAAAGAGAACUGUGUAGUGAACUAGUGAUCACAUUAUUAGUGCACUGUAAGUGAGAUCGUCGGAGGAGGACAAUUGUAUUCUUCGAUUAAAAAGAAAAAUGCUGAAACCUUGGCAUGAAACCAAAAAGGAGAGAUGGAAGGAGAGAAGGGAAAAAAAAGUUACAAGACAAGCUAGGAGUAUGACGGAAUCUACAACAACGUUCAUAUGUGUUUUGCACUCUAGCUAUUCAACCAAGUACUUAACUGAUGAGGCCAUUUCUCUAUCGUAGUCAUAACCAAUUCGUGGGGAGUACCGCGCCUAGUAUAUUGGUACAUUGGAUAUGAUCCGAAUUCUAACGCGUAUCUUGUGGGGACGCUUGGAGGGCUCACGGUUUAGGUUAUGUGAUUAGCAAAUUUGUCUCCGUAAUUAACUGCAGUCAAGCCAUAUGGGAAGAGAAAAAGAUUCAUUGUAUUUACUGUGUUAUAACUCUCUUAUUAUAUUGAAGAUCGUUGAUUGGAUCCCGUGGUUUUUUUCCGCGAGGCACGUAAAAAUUGUGUGUCGUGUUCGAUAUUAUUUUUGCUUUAUUUGCUAACAGCUUACUUGGCGCUCGAUCCCCUUGCUUUAUAUGCUAACAGCUUACUUGGCGCUCGAUCCUUUGGGGACAUCGAUCACCAGCUAGCUCAUCUACAGCGCUAUCCUAUUCCUCAUCUCGGCUGGUGUCGAUGACGAACUUCCUCCAGAUGAGCUAGCUGAGCGCCAAGUAACUGGGUUAGUUGACGGGGGCGGCGUAAGCCGCCGAGCUCUGAGACUGCUCGGCGCCAUGGCACGGCAGCCCUGCAGGUCUACGGCGGCCUGCAGGACGAACCUGUUCUGCCGGCGAGCAUGCCUGUCCAGAUCACACCGAGCGAGAACGCCGCGCCGGCGCGCCGCCGAGAUCGGCGACACCCCACGCGAUCGAUCGCUUGGAUCUCUCACUGAUCGAUCACUUGAUUAUUACUUGAUCCGGACGACCUGACCGCCUCCGACCAGGCGACGCCGCACCGAGCUUUUCUCAGACUUGAAUCGCCCGCGCCGUGACGCCGAGGGCCGAGACACGCGACGGAAGUGAGGGGAAAAAAUCGGGCAAGACCACGUACGUCAACAAGAUAUUUCCGGCCGCUCGACCGGCGGCCACUCGUCGAUCGCGCGGCACUUUUUUUUUUUUUUUGCUGUCUCUUAUCCACAGCUGCGGCACCGGAGAUCCGUCACGUCUCGCUAUUAGACCUACUCGAGCUUCGCCGCUUUAUAUAACUGACCAGCUUGGUGUCUGGAGUAGCUGGUGACAGAAGCAAGAACCCGAUCGAGAGAGGCGCGUGGCGUGCUAGACUGCUAGUGCUGCGGUGGUGCAGUAGCAGCAGCGGCAGCUAGCAGCUAGCAGCCAGCAGCCAUGAGCAGCGGCGCCCGCGAGAGCAGGUGGCCGGAGUUCGCCGCCCUCGGCCGCGCGCUGAUGGCGCGCGACGCCUCCGUGCCGGGGCGGGAGCUGCGGCAGCAGCAGCAGCAGCAGCCGGGGUGCCGCGGCGACCACGCCGCCGCGGCGGGCGGCAACGGCAAGAGGGCCAAGGUGAUGCACCUCCUGCUCUGGGGACCCAAGUGAUCGAUGUAUCCAGUAUCCACUUAUCCGGCAACCUCUCGUGGCGCUCCGGCGAGUGUUUCCGGCGGCGGCUCGGCUCCGGCCGGCCGGCCGGCGGCCGGAGUGUCCUGUACCAUUGAACUACUACUACUUAUUGUACUUGUUCCUUUUCUUGCACCACUUUGCUGUUUGCUCAGACUGAUCGCCGUCGGUCAGUUUGGGUCUCAGUUGUCAACUGAUGGAAGCUACUAUAGCUAAAAAGCUUUCUGUAACAUACCAAGUCUGAGUGGUGUUUCUAGUUAAGGUUUGGAGCAGCAGAUUGUACCCCUGUAAUCUAAGAACGCGUGCUCGUGUUGUUGUGUGCCUGUGAAAUUUGGUUUUCCUACGCUUUUCUGUGCAGUCAAAUAACUCAUCCAGCUCACUACUUUCCCUUUUUGGGGUUUUCAGUUUUUGUGUGAGAUUUGCUAGUGGUUCAAAGUCCCAGGUCGGAAAAGUUAGCUACUCCGUCCGUUUCAAAUUGCAGGUCGUUUUAGUUUUUCUAAGCAUCUACUUAUACACUAUAUCUAAAUGCAUAGCAAAAAUUAUGCAUCUAAAAAAGCUAAAACGAACUACAAUUUGAAACGGAGGGAGCAGCUCUUUUGCUCUAAGUUAUGUUGAAUCCUGAUGUACUGCAUAAAUUUUACUGAGGAUUCGAGUUGUUUGCGGCAGAGUUUUAUCUUGGAACUGACAGAGUUUGGGUGCUUUGCUUCUUCGUUGCAUGGAUCCACCUGAUUUCUCUUUUAGCUUGGCAUAGCUGGUUUAGCGUAAAAGAAUCUUGAAAAGCGAAAGUGAACAGAAAAGAAGGAAUUUAAAUACUAAGGAAAGGAGAGAAAAGGGAAAGUGAACAGAAAACGACUUCAAGUAUAUUCAUAAAAGGGGAGAAGAAGACCAAAAAAAUUGUGAAUACCUAUGGGCUAUCUUGUGUCCACAAAUGACUUGAGCAGCAGAGAUGUUUACAAAGUCCAACGAGAUUUUUUUUUUGAUAAACCAAGUCCAACGAAUUAGUACAUGCUUGGAGCAUGACGCGGCUCGUCUCUCUUAAAACCGCUUCAAUAACUGAUCUUUCUACUGAAAAAUGCAAGCUGCGGUAGCUGGAGAAGAAGAUUUCAGAAUCUGCCAUCAAAUUCACACGUCUCAUCUUUCUCUCCUUUUUAUUCCAUCUCCUAUAUUCUCUUGUCACUUGGCUUAGGCUAAUGGUGUUGAAAUAAUGGGCCUAGCCCAUAAGUAAUUUCAGAAUUUCAAAUAAAUCUCAAAGGCCCAUGUGGGUAAGAGGUGGAGUGGUGCAAGUCUUUAGUCCCACAUUACUAGUGGAGGGGAGGGAUGACCAACUUAAAUAUGGAAGUUGUCUCCACUCCUCCAAGCUAUGUGUGUGGGGAGGGAAGGAGAGCUCCACACGCACGCGCUUGCUCGCCACGCCUCGACGGGCCGGGUCGGGCGAAGGGCGCGGGCACGCGGCACCUGCGUGAACAGUCCGUCGAAAUCCAGCCCCUCGCCUCAGGGGCGCGGCUUCCUUUUGCCGUUUUAUUUUUUGGUUACUUGGUCAUCCUAACCGGUUGAUCGCGACGAGAAUCGUGGGCUCUCCUAUAUAUGCGACCUACCGGCCUCUACCAAAAAAAAGAGAUCUAUUCGAGCUAGGGUUUUUGCCUCCUCUCGCUGCUGCGCCGCCACCGUAGUCUACUCCAUCCCGAUUGUCGGCGUGCACCAGUGAUUGGGAGAGCAGGUCUCCGGAACCGUCGUCUUCAGCGAUCCUGCACCGGGAGAGGGCGAAUAAGGUUUUUGGGAAGCGCUCUGCGCGACUGCUCGAUCGCUUCCUCCGCUUCGUCAAGUUCUUCGUCGACUCCUUCACCACGGCUCGUCUACCUCUUCGUCGCUCGGGCCUCACUCGUCGUCGCGAACAACGUCAGGCUGCUGAUUGUCGUCGCCUGCUGUACCCGGUAGUCGUCCAGGAGCCGGUCUUCAUCAAGAAAGAAACGUACGAUCUCUUAACUCAAAUUAUGUCUUCCAUACUAGCUAUUAUGAUCUGUUGCAGUCUGAUAGCACUGGAUAGUAUGGUAGAAUGUGUGAUUCUAUUUGCAAUGAUAGACUUGUCUAGAUCUUGCGUAGACAUGUCUAGUUUAAUCUGCAGUCUGUUCAUCGUAUUCAUGAUUUAUUUCUGGAUUAAAUUAAGACUAAAAGUGCUUAUAUAUCCAACAAAUGGUGCUCACGGGAUUAGGCUCCAAUAAUUCGAGCAAGUUUGGCCAACCAUUUUCUCUUUGAAUGCGUGUCGUCGUUGGCAUGCACCCUGAGCUGAGCUCCCUUCACAUGAAAGCGCUAGAUAGAGGGGUGGGUGACCAGGCAAUGAGUCGGUGUAGAUCCGAAUGCUUGGUUCGGAUUGAGCUGCCAUAUAAUUCCGUGAGAAGGGUCCAGCCAUAUGAAAAGGAAAGAAAAUGGAGUGGCAUGUUUUUGAAGCAAUUCACGCGUGGAAAUUCCGAAAGGCCUGUAAAUUCGAUGGAAAAUCUUGUGAGAUGUGCAGAAAAAAUUCCAUGUGUAUUUAAACCCAGGAAAAAAACAGAACAUUUGAUAGAAGAACAAGAAAUGUUCUGUUUUGGUGGUAAAUUUUUAAAUUUCCUUGUACAUGGGAACUAAAGGUGAUGCUUAAAGGAGAACUGUGUAGUGAUCACAUUAUUAGUGCACUAUAAGCGAGAUCAUCGGAGGAUAAAAUUGUAUUCUUUAAUUAAAAAGAAAAAUGCUGACAACUUGGUAGGAGUAUGAACAAAUCAAAUCUACAACAAGACAUUCAUUUGUGCUCUACACGCCAAUACUUAACUGCUAAGGCUUACUUGGCGCUCGAACCAGCUAGCUCAUAAUUUUAUCCCCAACGAACCGAGCGCCAAGUAACUGGGUUCGUUCUCGUCGGCGUGAGCUUCCCAGCUCUGAGACUGCUCGGCGCCAUGGCACGGCAGCCCUGCAGGGCUACGGCCGCCUGCAGGACGAACCUGUUCUACCGGCGAGCGUGCCGAUCCAGAGCACACCGAAAAGUCCCCGUUCGCGGCCGCACCGGCAGACAAUCCUUGCUUGAGCCGCGCCCCGGCAGCUCGAGCUCGCCGUCAGCUGCGCGCGUUCGGCCCCGUCCCCGGUCACCCGGCGGCCUGCGCUGCUCCGAACGCCGCCGGAAUUUUGUCCGGUACCGGUCGAGCAUCAACGCAAUCGGAAGAGCCUGCCGUCGCCGGCGGUGAGACUGCUGGCGCCCUCCGGCAGCGCCAUCGCGGCGACGAGACGGGGCAAACGACCAAGUCAGAUUGUUUCUCUCGCGAAUCUGAGCCGCACAGGUACGAUCGGACGGUGGUUACGGGCCCCAGGGGUGGACGGUAAAUGAAAUACCGUCCACGCCCCUGACCUGGCGGGGGGCCGCUGCCCGGGCGCCUGCUCACCCUUCUCCACGACGCGAGCGUGGACAGCACUCCUCGCCGGCUUCUGGCGGCUUCGCGACGCCGUCGACGUCGUGGAUGCUACCGCCGACUCGAGCUGUCGAGUGCCUGAAGCUGCUCGGCGCCCGAAAAGCUUCAAGAGCGCUCGCCGCAGCGAGGUGUGCUGCGCCUCAGUGGCUGUAACACCCACCAAACAUCUAUGAAGGCGAAGCAGCGGCGACCUCGAGCAUGGCCGAGCUGACGGCCAUCAGUGGCAAGGGGUGGACGGUAAAUGAAAUACCGUCCACCCCCGAGCUGGGCGGCAGCUCGAUGAGCAUGAUCGCCUCCUCUGCUCCGCGCCACGCUUGCAGGGUCGCCGCGUUCUCGCCGGUAGUGGCUCGCGUAUCUGCCCUGCUGGACAGUGCCGUGAUGCGGUACUACUGCAUCAAUUUUACUGAGAACUUUGCAUUUCUUGCGGCUGAGUUUGGUGGUAAAUUUUUAAAUUUCCUUGUACAUGGAAACUAAAGGUGAUGCUUAAAAGAGAACUGUGUAGUGAUCACAUUAUGAGUACACCAUAAGGGAGAUCAUCUGAGGAUAAAAUGUAGUAUUCUUCAGUUAAAAAGAAGAAUGCUGACAACUUGGCAUGAAACCAAAAAAAAGAACAGAGAGAAGGAAAAAACAAUUACAAGAUAUGCUAGGAGUAUGAACAAAUCAAAUCUACAAACAACAUUCAUGUGUGUUCUGCACUCUAGCUAUUGAGCCAAGCACUUAACUGAAGAGGCUUACUUGGCGCUCCAUCGUCUUCAGCUAGCUCAUCUCUAGCGCUAUCCUCUUCCUCAUCUCGGCGCUCCGCGCGUCGGUGGUGUCGAUGACGAACUUCCUCCAGAACCAGUGCUUCUUCCAGACGUGCGCCAUCUCCUCGACGGGCACGUUCUUGGUCUCCGGGAGCAGCAUGGCGAUGAAGAGCGUCAUGAGCAGCACCCACGCGCCGAAGAAGUAGAAGAGCCCGAACCGGAGGUGGCAGAGCAGCGUCAGGAAGAUCUGCCCGAUGAAGGCCGUGAAGAACAUGUUGACGGCCACCGUCACGCUCAUCGCCGGCGACCGCACCGCCAGCGGGUAGAUCUCGCUCGGGAUCAGCCACCCCAUCGGCCCCCAGGACCACGCGAACCCCGCCACGUACACGCACACGAACAGCACGAUGCACAUCGCGUACUGCUCCGAGAUGGCCCCCGUCCCGCUCAUCCCGAACUGCAGCCCGAUGAACGUCCCCACCAGGAUCUGCAUUAUCCCAAGAAUUUAUAUAUAUAUUAUAUAUACAUAUAUACAAACCUUGUUGAGUUGUGUCAUUCCUUCGUACCUGGGAGAUGAUCAUCUGCGUGCCGCCCUGGAGGAAGAGGGCGCGGCGGCCGACCUUGUCGGCGGUCAUGAUGGCGACGAAGGUGGAGAAGACGUUGACGAGGCCAGUGAUGACGGAGGAUACGAGGGAGGCGUUCUGCUUGAACCCCACCGUCUUGAACAGCACGGGCGCGUAGAACAUGAUCACGUUGAUGCCGGUGAGCUGCUGGAAGAAGGGGACGAGCAGCGAGAAUGUCAGCUGGGGCUUGUACUUGCCGCCGAACAGGAGCUCCCGCCACGGGUUCUCCACGGCCUUGGCGUCCUCGCUCGCCGCCGACAGGUCGUCGAACUCCUCGCGGACGUCGCCGACGCCCCUGAUCUGGAGCAGCGUCUUGCGCGCCGUCGCCGUGUCGCCGCGCUGGAUCAGCGAGGUCGGCGUGUCCGGGAUGGCCAGCGCGCCCAGCGCGAUGACGCCGGCCGGGACGGAGCCGAACGCCACGGCGAUGCGCCACCCCCACCCGCCGGGGAUCUUGGACGUGAAGUAGUUGGUCAUGUUCGCCAACAGGAUCCCCACCGUGAUCAUGAACUGGAAGAGGAUGUUGAGCAUCCCGCGUUGCUGCGCGGGGGCCAUCUCCGAGAUGUAGAGCGGGGACGCGUGGAUGGAGAGCCCAACGCCGGCGCCGACGAGGAUCCGGCCGGUGAGCAGCAUCGGGAAGUUGACGGACACGCCGCCGAGGCACGCGCCGAAGACGUACGCGGACGCGGCGGCGAACAGGGUCCACUUCCGGCCGAAGGAUCGGGUCAUGGGCCCGGCGAAGAAGGCGGCGAUCAUCGCGGAGAGGAAGAGGGACGAGCAGAAGAGCGUCAGGAGCUGGCUGUCGAACUUGCAGUACUGGUUCACGGUCACCUGGUGCUUCAUCUCCUCGUAGAUGGACGGGAAGAACUUGAUCAGGAACGGCUCCGUCGACGUCAACCCGGCUUCAUCACGAUCACGGCGGCGGCGGCGGCGACGACAACACAAAGCAAGCAAACAAGACCCCUCGUGUCAGUCGUCAGAGCAAGCCCCUGAUUUGGCAUUUUGGCUCAACAGCCUGUGUAUAUAUCUAUGGUAGUGCUCAGCUCACAGGUGAGGCCGAUGUCAUAGCCGAAGAUGCAGCCGGCAACGGAGGCGAUGAGGCAGGAGAAGACGACGAUGCCGGUGACCUCGCCGGGGUACGUCUUGUACCUCGUGUGGUGGUGCACGAUCACCGCUCCCGGCAUUGUGCCCGGCGCCGGCGGCGAGGGAACCAACCAACCGGUCACUUACAGGCCGGUGAUCUCGACGGGAACGAAGGGGGUGAUCGGAGGAGGAGGUGGCGAGCCCCUCCUGUUCGUCCUUGUUGCGCGGCGGGGGAAGGAUGCGUCGAGGCGGGAGCGGCGAGCGCUUAAACCGGUGGAAGGGCUCGGCGAGUGGUGCGGCGGUCCCGUCCUAAAUCGUAGGACGCGUGCUGGUCGAUCGUCGUAUGCGAGUCGUGUGUGUCACCCAGGAACGUCGUCUCCAUGGUUUCAAGGUCAACCACGGCUUUGAAGCUUCUAAUCUUGGGAGACCACGCUUUCCAUUUUUAGCAUGUUGCAUUGUAUCAUGCACUGAGGAGGAAUUGAUGCAGGAUGAGCGCCAUUUUUGUGCACGUUGUGGGUUUAACCCUGUAUUCCAUCUUUCUGUUGUAGCUCAAGAACAGUGUGAUCUGGAGGCAAGUGCAACUUCGAUUUGCACUCUUGGCUGCAUUUCAGUAUUUGCACUCUUGGCUGCAUUGGCACACGAAGUGUUAUUUAGUGCCUCAGAGUUGGAUAUUGCUAACAAUUGACUGAUUAUUUCACCAAAAAAUUCAGAUGGAGAUAGUUGGAAGAAGAAAAUUCAAUCUGAUGAGAUCGUCCAGUGCAGUUUUACGUGGGGAACAGAACUACUGAAAGUUUCAGAGAGCAAGUUCUCCCAGAUUGGAUGAGCAAGGCAGGCCAGGUUUUUUCAAAUCAAAGAGCGACUGGAUUGUGCCUGAGCUUCGCUAGUUUUCUUGUCCUCGCUUUUUUCGGUUUCUUGGCCUAGCUAGGCCUUUGCUGUUCUUGUUGGACUUUUCUCUCCUCCUCUAUUACUUUAUGAACGUCAGAGCUCCUGACUGUUCCUUUUCUAUAAAAAAAAACUUCGUCAUGUUCUUUCUUUUGCUGAGAUAAUUCACCAGUUCUGAAACUGCACCUCUUCCCUCUAUCACGGACAUUUUUACUGCAUCCAUGCUGCUCGAGUGCUCAGGUUCAGCAUAGCCAUCGUUCAGCUAACCGACUUGCAUGCCGGCAUCGGCACAAGAGGCCACCUUGCGCGCCCAUAGUACCAGUCUACCGGAGGCUGUUGAUGUUCUCCGUCAGCUCCCUGGUGCCUGACCGGCUCUCUUUUGCUGGCAGCCUGACAAUGCAGAGACUUCUACUGAUUUCACAAGGGAGUCCCCUCUGCUAAUUGUAGAACGAGACGAAUUCUCACAGACUGUUCCUGAAUGCAGCUCGUGGUAGUGCCCUGGAAUUCUGGAGGAUGCCAUCUCCUUGGUGCGGUGGUGCCCUUCAGAUGGCACACGACACGCGUUUAGGUUCAGUGGGAUGGGUGGGUGUAGUGGAAAAGGAGAACAGGUCCUCUUACUGUGCCCACGCUUGGAUACAUCACAGGAGCUGAUGAUUAAGUUGCUGCUUCUCACUAUGAUACGUGACACCACCAUCCACUCCGUAAGUGCCUUUCGAGAGUAAAAUAAUGAAAAGUUAAGAUCCACAUUUACCUUUAUCUCAUUGUUCUAUUUCAUCAUGUUGGGCAAAGCUGGCUGGCACCAAACGGUCAAGUAUAAACUGUGUCAGACAUACUUGCAGUGAAAGAAACAGUGCAUAAUAGUGUUACCCAUGGUGUGCAAGAGCAAUUAGUGCAUGGACCUAUGAACACUCUGGGAAUCUUUAAAUGGUAAAAAAACAUGCUGGAUUUUCUGAACCCUGAUUCAUCUUCUCAUAAAAUCAUCUAGUGCAUGAACUACAAAAUGCCGGCCGUAAAUUACUCAGGCUUUGCGGACUUAUUUUUCCCAUUUAACCAAGCUAAUUACAAGACCACAAGAGAUAUUUGCAAGUGGAGUGGAGACAUUCUAGCACGAGGUCCACGUGAUGGAAAGAGGCAAACCGGUUGGUGAGGCUGAGAGCAGAGCAGGUACGGAGUGGACCACAUGCCCGUACUGCCGGUCUACCACUGCUACUCUGUACCACCGCACAUGUGAAGUAUACCACUGCACCUUCGUUUGUUCAGAAUGUACGGCCAGUACGAACCUUAAGGGACAAUUAGAAAGAAAUUUGAUACUCCAGAGUCCAGUCAACAUUCUUUGAUAUACUUUGACAGGCCUCAAGCUUCAGCAAAUUCUGCGUCCCAUCGGAAAAAAAAAAAAGAUAGAUGCCUAGCGUACCGAAUGUGAAGAAGUUACAGGACAGAGCUGCUCCAUAGAUGACUACCAUCCAAAAUCAAGUUUAGGAGCUCAAGCUAGAAACGAAAGAUACAAAAAUUAAGAACUUUGCAGAGCAACUCUUGAAUGCAGUUAUCGAAUGAAUAAUCUCUCUGAAUCAAAGGCACAAAAUUGAGAAUUUCGUACGUCAAGACUUGAGUGCAAUUGUCAGAUGAACAAUACCUCGGAAUAUGCAAAGUUUUUUUUUCUGAGAGAGGACUGAAUAUGCAAACCAAGUUGCAGUGUCCUAGUGUACCUACUAAGUGCUAUUUAAUUUCAGCUACCAGCGGAGCCCAGCCAUGUACAAAGGCCAAGCGACUUGGGGCCCUUUCACCUGCAAGGAAGUGCUGCUGGUCCUGAACAGAAUUCAAUACAACAGAGCAAAGGAUGGCAAAAGUUUCUUGAAAGAUCAUAUAAUACGCUCAAACUUUUUGAUAUCUCCAUCGAGUGCCACUACAUAACGUUGCAACACAUGGAUGAGCAUGAAAUGUCUACCCAGCACCCACUUAUUUGUAGGACCUGGUAGCUAUAAAGAGAAAGGACCUAGGAGCACAAAAGGUUGAAGGGAACAAGCAAGGGUGAGUAAAUAGCCCCAGAAAUGAGGCCAUCAAGAGAAGUAAAACAGCAUCAAUGGAAUUCCAGCCUUUUAGUUAUUACGUAGACAGUAGACGCCCACUUCUAAAUUUACAACUUCCCCAUAAUUUUGUAGGCUAAUAACAUCAAUUUUGUAUCACAAAAGUUAUAUACUAGUAAUCAAGUAACUGUUGGUCAAAGGCUUGUCAUAAUGAAACAAAAUACAUUCUUAGACAGAUGAAGUAAAUCAGUAGUGAUGAUAAAUUGGGCCUGUACCCCCACUGUAGCACAUAGGCCAAGGACCACGACCAUGAGGCAUACAAAUAAAUGCAGUCCUAACAGUCUAACACUAAACACAGACCCACCCCACUAGCAGGUUUCUUACACACCAUAUCUGAGCAGCUGCACAGAUAUUAUUGCAAUACAGUGGAAUGGAAGGACAAAGGAAAAGCAUGUCCUAAAAAGGACACAAAAAUUUCAAGAGACGUUAAGAAAGCAUAGAUACAUACAAUAUGUAAUUUAAUUUAGCUUGGUUUUAUCAAGGAUAAAGAGUAAUGCAAGGUGUGCUGAGAAAGAUUUGAAGUAAAAGACACCUGGCAAAGCAACCACGUUAUACUGCCAUGCCAUAGACCCUAUCCAAUUAGUUGUAAAGGACAUCCUAAGAAGAGCAGCCCAAACAGCCAUGUCAUAUGGACAGACAUUUCAUCAGCUGAUGUGUGAUUGGCUCUUUCUGGUUAUUACAUAAUAAGAAUAUUGCUUUCCCAGUCAGCUCGACUCUCUAGAAAGUUAUAACUUUCCCUUCAAUAUUAAUGAAAUAUCCACUUACCAAACAUUUAAAUGCGAGUGCAGGACCAUAUAGACAUUCAUCUGAUCACCAAACAUUUAAAAUGAAUGCGAGACCAUAAACACAUUCAGGUGCUUGUAGAAAUGACUGAAUGACGAGAUGUAAUUUGCGGACUGACAAAUGACCAUAAACAUUUAAAAUAUGAGUGCAGAACCAUAAACAUAUUUAAAAUACUUGAUAAUUCACAUGCCGAUUGCCAAAUGUUAGAAAUGUAGCAUCCAAAUGUAUCUCAAGUUUUAAACUCUUCAUUAAACUAAUACAUAGUAACGGCUAAAUUGGUAUGUCUGUGUUAAAGAUUCAAAGUUUUAAUCUCAUAAGAAUUACCAAACUGGACCUUGACCUUAGUUAUGAAAAAAAUGCUUCAUGAAAAUUGGGUCGGGGUUCAGGUUAAAUUUAGAGAUAUUCGUUCAUAUCUUACAAAGAAAAGCAUAAAGCUAAGGCCCAAAAAAUAGAUAGGAUUAUAUUAUAUUUAUAUCCUGGUAGAACCACAAAAAGCUCAAAGCCUAAAACUAACACAUAGGAAUAUAUUAUUGAGAUAAUAAUUAUACUAAACAAAUUGGGACAAGAAAAGAAAGUUAUCUCUGAGGUCAAAAUAGAAUUGGACGCUGCCUACUAGAAGGAUCCGCACAAACCCAAAUCAAUAAAUUCCCAGAUCCUUGGAAAACAUUCCUUCCUGUUAUUGUAAUAACUGCCUACCCAACUUGCAUGGGACUAAGGAUUUGCUGUUGUUAUUAUUGUUGUUGUUCUUAUUCUAAGUACUGAAGGUAGGCUUCCAGUUAUUUACAGACACCAUGAUCCUUGUUAGUUAAUGUACAGGUCCCUUCAAUAGAAGACUAUUUAUCAAGUCACUAGAAAAGCUAGCAUUCGUUAUGCAAAUGAACUACGGGCAGUGUUGCAAACAAGAGUCACCUACAUACCUAACAUAUCCUACAGAUUGAAUAAAACAUAUCUUAACAAAGCUUGGAGUGUGGGGAUAUAACUCUACCAGCCUUCAAUAAUAAAAUCAUGCACCACCCCUACAAGGUCAAUCCUAGACCCACCACUAAUUUACACAAAGUAGGAUACACUUUCUUUUCCUCACCAGCAUAAGCAAUCUUUUCCGAAGCAGCAUACCACGCUCUUUAAGAUCUUGUAAGCAUCCUCUUAUUCCUGUAUUUUGCAAGUUGGCAAUAUAAGUAGAGGAUAUAAAUAGGUAAAGUACUUUUUUCAAUAAAGUUGUUCUAUAAUAAUUGCAGAUUACAGAAUAAGAAAUAUUAAUGAAAAAAUCUGGCAUUAAUGAAGAAAUCACAAUCGACCAGUGGGAUUCAGGUCCCAGAUUUAAAAGAUGUGGAAAAAAUGCUCAGGGGUUGACUUGACACAUAGUUUACUCCAAAGAUAAACUUCAAGCGAGCACUUGUACGAUAUGGAAACAAUUCUAAAAGAAUAUGUUGACUUCCAUUCCAUGUCUGGAGCAGUACACAUAGAUACAUUGAGUCAAAGGCAACGAUAUAUUGAAGAUUAAUAGUCAAGUACUCAAGUGGUGAUCAGGUUGUUUUGCAACAGAAACAAUGAAGUUCUGCAUUGUUCGUCAUAUAUCUUGAAAGAUUCAGCUUCAUAAAUCAUCAAAUCCAAAGUCCAGCUCCGUGACUUCACAUCAAGAGUGAUUUCUCGUAGCUUGACAUUCCUAUGCAGCCCAAGCUUUCAAAAAGAAUUGACAAAUUCAAGAGGAUGUGAAGGCUACGCAUAAAUAUCACUGCUUCGAAUAUACAAGCGCAUAAGAAGGUUCAAAGAUAAUGGACCCCUUUACCAACAUUAUCCAUAUCAUUUCACUAUGCUGUGUGGCUCUACAGCUCUGCAUGGUUUGAAAGGAUAAGACACAAGUGCAAAGCACUAAGGUGAUAUGGCUUUCACUUCAUAAAAGGAGCACCAUAGAAUUUUCACAAAGAUAUCACCCCCCCCCCCCCCACACACACACACACACAAAAUCCCAAGGUACAUGCGGGAAGUACUACCAACCAUCAGAAUGGAAUUGCCACUCACCAUUCCGCAGUGGCUUGUCACUGCAAAGCUAGCUAAGAACACCGCACCACUUCACCUCACUUAUCUCCACCACUAAUACUCAAUGGCCCAAACAUCAAACAAGAACACUUAAGACCCCCCCCCCCCCCCUCCCGACCUCCAAAAAUAGCAAAUAUAAAUUCAGCCACCUGCACAACCCCAGCAUACAAUCUUUAAGGAUAAACUAAUACUACAACAGCAGACUGUCAAUUAUGUCUUGUAAAAUUUUAGCAAGAUAGCUAUUUCUUAUUAAUCACAGUAUUGCAGAAUUGCAACCGGUGCAUCACCUCAAAUAUCCAGCAGGCACAAAAAUCACAGUUACUAGCACUGAGUAAAGCUCAUUUCCCCCAUCUGCUAUUCCGCUUCCACACAAAGUCAAUUACAAAUUUGAUUGGUUAUAGUAGCCAUACCAGACUAACUGGCAGAUAGUUAUAGACAAUCAGACUAAGAACAUCAUAAGAAUAAACAUUACGUUCAUAUCAAAGACAUUUAUAAAAAAGACACUAAAAGAAAAAAACGUAGUCAUCCAAUAAUUCCACAUACAUCUGGUACCAGCAGGAUGUAAUCUUCACAUGAAGUAUAAAUUCAGGAAAGCCUGUUAUUUUGGCAUGAAGGUAACAAAUCAACAACAUUGCAGCGCUACUUCCAAGCUACUCAUGUCAAGCUGUUGUAGCGAAACAUGUUCACCCCUUAUCAUGAAAAAGGAUCAAAUAUGGUUCCAAAUAUACAUUCAUUUUCUUACAAGACUCCAUGGGAACUGCUAUAAACAAGAUGCUUCAUUUUCUUACAAGGCUCCAUGGGAACCACUAAAAACAGGUGACAAGUUAUACGAUCUUUUUGUUAUCAGAUUGCAUGUAUCUAGAAGAAACCUGGACAGAAUAAUAUAAUGUUAUUUCUGGAUUAACCAAAGAGAAGUGCGCAAGCUCCAGCUAACUCUGAAGUUAUCCGGAAUACACAGUUAACUUACCGAUUCUAAUGUAGGACGAAACUAAUCCACACCAAAUAAAGUGAAGGUGUACUAACAGCAAUUUGUAAAAAGCUAACUAUAAAGAGAUGCCUGAUAAGCAUUCAAUUCUUUUGGGCAUGCACACAAGCAGCAAAAGAGAAGCUGAGGAUGGUAGAAGAGAAAAAUGUGGCAGGUCAGAAUUCCUCCCAUUUCAACCUUUAUGCCAGAAUAUUUCAGUAAUAUGAAUUGCAAAAAGAAAACAUAUAUCAAACUCUGUAUUCCUUGCAGAUUUCUUUUCCCCAUGUCUGUUAUCUAACAGCUAGAAAUCUAAAAUUGAUGAGCAGAAACUGAACUACAACAAUAUUUUGCUCAUUUCAAUCUAAAACCUGACAAAGACCUCCGAAUGCAAUGGUUGGAUCUGAGGACCAUCAGGCUCACUGAAAAUUAUCUGGGUAUUUGCUGAAGCUCUUUCCAAAUGCAUUAUUUCUGUUUUCAGAAAACUGGGCAGCACAUCCGACUGAAUCUUGCGGAGUCCUUGAGGGUGAUCCUCUGUAGGAGCAAUCAGAAAUAGUUUCUUCAGACAACUAGACUUUCUAAGCAGAAAUUCUACUAGUUGCAUCUCAUUACGGUGCCCCUUGAAGUUUGUCAUCUUGGCUAACCAAAGGUUUUCUAAUCCACCUUUAGGUGGCUCUUCCUCCGCUACCUCCAAGAAAUUCUCCGUGAAUGAAUCACGAACGUUCGUCGGGAGCUGCAAGUUCAGUGGAACAUGUUUGAGAAACAGAUCGCAUGGCCAUAAACAAACUAGCAAUCGAAUGCAGAUUUUUGCAAUAAAAAUAAGCAAACAGAGACCUGCACAAAGAGCCGCUCCAACUGAGGACAGGAACAUGUCUUGAGGAAGCUGUAGAUGUCAGCAAGGUUGGAGUUGGCCAUGCCGAACAUGAGGAAAUGGAGCUCUCUCAAGCUCUGCAGCUUGCUCUCCACUACGGCCUUAGCUGUGAAAGCAGAAAUGUACUACAAGGCAAAGGCGAACAAGUAUAUAAGCCUGUUGGCAAUGAAAUGGGCUGAAAGGAAAUGGCAUAGAUGCCUGAGCAGACCUGGAGUGCAAUGCUGCAGAGGGUGAGGACACUGAGGUUCGAUAGGUGGGGAACCGAGAUGGGCAAGUUGGUGGGCGGCAAGCCGUUCUCCGGCCCGCCGGAGCAGAGGUAGAGAUGCUCAAGUGAGCCCCCAGCGCCCGUGAGGAUGUUGCUGGAGAGGAAGGCGCCGCUCAACCGGAACGACCGGAGGCGCGGCGCCAUGGGGACCCGCACCUCCGUGGUGCGGGAGCAGUCGACGAGGGUGAAGGUCCUGAGGUUGGGCACCCCCACGGCGCUGAAGUCGAUGCGGCGGAGGCGGCGGCAGUAGCGGAGGUCGAGCUCCCGGAGGCGGGGGCAGGCGGCGACGACCCGUCGCAGCGCGGCGUCGGUGAGGAACACCGAGUGGAGGUGGAUCACCUCGAGCGUGGCGACCAUCGCGUUGGCGGCCGCCGUGAGGUUGAGCCCCCGCACCGAGAGGCGCGCGAGCAGGCGGCUCCCGACGGGGAAGUGGACGGUGAGCAUGCCCCGGCCGCGGGUGCCCCCGCCCCCGCGCGAUCCCCUCCCCGCGCCGCCGUCGACGCGGAGGUGCAGGUCCUCGACCUCGCACACCGCGGCGUAGUCGAGGCAGCGCCUGAGGUCCGGCUGCGUGAGCUGCCCGCCGUGGAAGGCGAGCGAGAAGCAGUCCAUCCGGCGCCUCCCGCGCCGGUCGAUGAGCCCGAACUGCUCCACCCGCGCCGCCGCCCCCGCCGCGCCGGGAGGGAGGCGGAUGCGGACCGACGACGGCUCCGGCCACCGCUGCUCCCACAGGCACCGCCACCGCGAGGAGAGAGCGCCGGUCCGGAUGGCGGAUUUGAGCGGCAGCAGGCUCAGAAUCUGCAUCCGCAGCGCGUCCGGCAGGUCCGAGAUGCGGUCCUCCUCCACCACCAUCUCCUCCUCAUCAUCAUCCUCGUGGCCCCCACCUCCCACCCGGCGCCGCUUCCCGCCGCCCCCCGCCAUUCCGCUCCGCCGCCGGCUCCUACCCGCGCCGCAUCGGGGGAGGAUUCCGCGGGGUUUGGUUGCGCCGCUCCUACAGGGCUGUGUUGUGAAGCAGGGGCGGGGAGGGGAAUGGGAAGGGAAGGGGGAGAGACGUGUGGAGGCGUCUUGCUCGCCGCCUGGCCGCUGCGGUGGCCUCUUGUGCUCGCUUCCCUCUUUCCCCUCCCUCCCUCUCUCUCUCUCUCUCUCUCUCUCUCUCUCUCUGCCUGCUGUGGUGUGUUCUGGCUGGCUACUUGCGCUGGUGGUGCCGCGCGGGUCAUACGGCUCACGCUCCUCCGCUCGCUCGCGUCGGGCCGCGCCACCCUCCCCUUUGCGUUGCGUUGCGUCGCGGGUGCGCUGCGACGUUGCUUUACCGUUCGGGCCUUUUCCGCCGGGUCGCCGGCCGCGACCUUUUCACACCAACAGGCAGCACGCACAGCCCCGCGGGCCUCGCCUUGCUUCCCAUUUUUUUCUCUCGCCCGCCGCUGUUCACACGGCACUUCACGUCCUUUUUCUUCCGUUUCGUUUCUUCCCUCUCUUUCUCCUUUUUUUUUGUUCUGCGUACCUUUUGCGCCGUUUUCAAUGCUUUGCUAAUUUUGAGCUCCCGGAUGAAAUGCCUGCUAAUUAUGUGAAAGCAAACAUUGAUUUCUUUCCUUCUCUAAUUUCCCUACAUUGAUUUAUUUCUUUAUCUAAAUUCCAUGCUUGUUUAGGAGAGGAUCUUCCAUAUUUUUCUUCAUCAAGGGAAGAAAGUGGUCCAAAGGGCUCCAGGAGCUCAGGUUAAGGUUACACUCUUGCCCUCCCUCUUUGCAGGUAUGCAUAGAAGCCAUAUCGGCGCAAUGACGGUUGGCACGGUAGCAACUAGGUGGCGAGCUUGCAAAUGAGGGGGUGUUUGGAUACACCAUCCUAAACUUUAGUACCUGUCACAUCGAAUGUUUGAUACUAAUUAGGAGUAUUAAAUAUAGUCUAAUUACAAAACUAAUUGCACAGAUGGAGUCUAAUUUGCGAGACGAAUCUAUUAAGUCUAAUUAGUCCAUAAUUUGACAAUGUGGUGCUACAAUAAUCAUUUGCUAAUGAUGGAUUAAUUAGGCUUAAUAGAUUCGUCUCGCAAAUUAGUAUAGGGGUUCUGCAGUUAGUUUUAUAAUUAGUUCAUAUUUAGUACGCUUAAUUAGCGCCCGAACAUCAGAUGUGACCCUCCUAAAGUUUAGUACAUUAUAUCCGAACAGCCCCUGAGUCAUGUUGGGUGCGGGGCAUCAGGACUAGGUGAUAUUGGCAAGGGAGAAUGGAGAGACAGAGGUGCAGCGAGGGGUGCAUAUUUAUUUGUAGCGUAACAAGUCAACUGUAGCUGUGCGCUUGCUUAUAGUGAAUUAGAAUAAACUUAUUGGCCGUAUUUCUAAAAAAUAGUCGAUUGAAUUUAUUCGGGUCCUUUUAGGAAAGUACGAAAGAACAAUUAUUUGUAUCUCUUAAACAUUAUCCCACAUUUUAGCGAACAUGUGAAUUGUCACCUUCGGUGAAUGGAAAAGGAUUAACAAAGACUUAGUAUAACAUGACAAUAAAGGGCCGACCGGUCACCAAUACUUGGCAUUGCUGAAUUAUCUGGGAGCGGUAUAUUUCAUAUUUAAUUUUGACCAAUAUUUUUUCUUAUUAAUAUAUAGUUAUAACAUCGCAUAAAUAUGAAAGUGCCUUCUAAGGUAAUAUAAUCUUUCAUAAUUUCAAACUAAAUAUCUUGAAAGAUAGGAUGAGAAGAUGCUAUAGGAUAAGUAGAUAGUAAUGUGAAAGAUAUGAUGAGGAGAUGGCAUAGGAAGCCUAGCUGAGAGAUAAUACGAUGCAUCGAGUGUGAUACCUCCGCCAUUUUUCGACUUCAUGAUAAGGGAAAGGUGUUUCAUGAUAAAAUGAGGUGCAGUGGAUUCUUGUAAUUAGUUUAGAGAUAAAUCAAAUUCUAGGAUCUCUGAUCUAAUGGUUCGCUGCGGGUAUAAAGAUAUAAAGGUUUGCUAAAGAAGAAUAACCACCAGAUUGCACUCGAACCCAUCUCCACAUGAUUCUUGCUCGUUUCCUCUCCCCUACCAAAUCUAUACUAUAAACUAUAAAGAGCGACCAAAUUAAAAACAAUUUCUACCCAGAGUUACACCCCUGUACCCCUCACAGAGGACCCACCUACCAGGCUAGGAGGGUGACGAAAAGAUGUGACGAAGGGUGGGAGGACAAAAAAACUAGAUGAUAGAAAAUGAUUCUGCCAAAACAUCUGUUUUUUCUCACCUUUCUUUUCUCCUUACCUGCCCUCCUUACCCGCACGCACGUACCCUUCCGCGCGCCAAUCACGUUCCUGAUUUUUUGGCCGAGGUCUCCUUCCUUUUCCACGUUUUCCACGUUCUGCCGUUCCGCGACUCCAUGAUUUUUUUCGUGGUUUCCUUCCUUUUUCAUGCUCUUGAUUGAUUGGUAGCCUUCCUUUUGAGAGCCUUCCUAUUGAGAGCCUUUAAUUUAGAUCCUGUUUGGCAUGACUCCAACUCUGGGUGGAGCUGCUCCACUCCAGAACUCCAGGUGGAGCCAGCUCUGGGUGGAGUUGGAGCUGUCUGGUGAGGGUGUUUGGCUGGGAGGGUGUCCCUAGCUCCAGAAAAGAGGAGUUUGAGGGUAGAUUGCCUUUCUUACCCCUGGUUCGACUUGAACUACUUAUCACAAAUAUAAAAUGAAAGUACAUGCAUUGAAGUCCAAAAUAAUAAUAAAUUACAUGUUCCAAAAUUUUAAAAUUUUGAAAUAAAUUCAUAGUUCCAAAAUAAGGUCGUUACAGUAAUCAUUGCACUAAUUCCAUGUUAGAGCAAUUGAUGUAGCCAUACUAUCACGAAAGGUAUCCAUAGUCACAAAGCUUGAUUCCGAAGUUGAUCCAUCGGAGGCAUGUUGAGACACGGCAUACUUGUUGUAUCUUACCGGAAUAGUAGGCAUGUAGGUAGGAUCUCUAUCAAAAUUAACAAAGUCCACAUCAACACUAGCAUGUUCACGUAUGAAAUUGUGUAGAACCAUAAUAGCAGCAACAAUCUUCUUUUGUGUGACCAUUGAAUAACCGGGCAUCUUGUAAAGGAUUUGCCAUUUCAUUGUUAAUACUCCAAAUGACCGCUCAAUAACAGUACGAACAGAUGAGUGUAUACGGUUGAACUUCUCUUUUGGAGUAUUUGGUUCCAUACCUCGAUGCCACUCGGGUAAGUGGUACCUUUCACCCUUGUAUGGAGCCAGAUACCCCGAAUGAUUAGGAUAGUCCGCAUCUACAACAUAGUACUUGCCUACACAUAUGUAAAAUAAGAUAAGUUUGUGCAUACAAAUAUGAAAAGAAACAUAAGGAAAAAUCUUUACCUUGAGGAGGAUGUGGGAAGACAUUUACAUCUGCUUCCAAUGCAUGGUACAAUACACUAGUGUCAUGCAAAGAACCCGGUUGACCCGCAGCCACAUAGGUGAAGCGCAUAUCAAAAUCACAAACGGCAAGCACAUUUUGAGUUGCAAUUCCAGUCUUACCAAUACAUCUCACUUGUUCUUCAGGUGAUAAAUACACAUGAAUAUGGGUUCCAUCAAGUGCACCAAUACAAUCCAUAAAGUGUGGGUAUGCUCUCUUGUCAUUCCUAAUCCUCUUGUGCACAUUGUGAAAAUUAUGAUCUGUCGGUCUCAAGAAAUCUUGUGCUAUGGCAACCACACAAUUUAGAACUUCAUGAAAUUUUCUACUAAUGGUUUUACCUGAGUGUUUGAACUUAUUUUAUCCUCUUCUAUUUGACUCACACCCACUACAUGUGAAUAGGAAAAUGGCCAACAUUUCAUAAGUAUUCACGUGCUUCGAUGGUUUUAAUCCGUACCUCUCAACCAACACAUCAUGAAGAUCCUGAAAAAUAACCUCAUUCAUCCGAAACAUUCGAUGGCACUCCCCUGGAGUGUUUACCAUCUCCAUCAGCCAUCCCAUUUCACUUUGUUGUGAAAACAUAAAUCUCGGCGGUACCUUAUCCAUAUAUGAGUCAUGAUAACUUUGUGCUAGCUUACCACAGCUUUCAACCAUUUUAAAAAAAUAUUCACCAUCAGACUCACUAGAUUCAUCAGACUCACUUGAAGACAUCUAUGAACAUUGACAUAAAUGAAAUGUAAGAUACAAUUGUCAUACAUAAAUAAAAUGCAAUAAAGUAAAAUGUACCACACAUGCGACAAAAAUAAAA